AUUGAACGCUGGCGGCAUGCCUUACACAUGCAAGUCGAACGGCAACAGGUCUUCGGAUGCUGACGAGUGGCGAACGGGUGAGUAAUACAUCGGAACGUGCCCGAUCGUGGGGGAUAACGAGGCGAAAGCUUUGCUAAUACCGCAUACGAUCUACGGAUGAAAGCGGGGGAUCUUCGGACCUCGCGCGGACGGAGCGGCCGAUGGCAGAUUAGGUAGUUGGUGGGAUAAAAGCUUACCAAGCCGACGAUCUGUAGCUGGUCUGAGAGGAUGAUCAGCCACACUGGGACUGAGACACGGCCCAGACUCCUACGGGAGGCAGCAGUGGGGAAUUUUGGACAAUGGGCGAAAGCCUGAUCCAGCCAUGCCGCGUGCAGGAUGAAGGCCUUCGGGUUGUAAACUGCUUUUGUACGGAACGAAAAGCCUCUUUCUAAUAAAGAGGGGUCAUGACGGUACCGUAAGAAUAAGCACCGGCUAACUACGUG
rnacentral:rRNA from 1 species